rnacentral:rRNA from 1 species
GACGAACGCUGGCGGCGUGCCUAAUACAUGCAAGUUGAGCGCCGAAGGUUGGUACUUGUACCAACUGGAUGAGCAGCGAACGGGUGAGUAACGCGUGGGGAAUCUGCCUUUGAGCGGGGGACAACAUUUGGAAACGAAUGCUAAUACCGCAUAAAAACUUUAAACACAAGUUUUAAGUUUGAAAGACGCAAUUGCAUCACUCAAAGAUGAUCCCGCGUUGUAUUAGCUAGUUGGUGAGGUAAAGGCUCACCAAGGCGAUGAUACAUAGCCGACCUGAGAGGGGGGUCGGCCACAUUGGGACCGAGACACGGCCCAAGCUCCUACGGGAGGGAGCAGUAAGGAAUCUUCGGCAAUGGACGAAAGUCUGACCGGGCCACGCCGCGUGGGUGAAGAAGGUUUUCGGAUCGUAAAACUCUGUUGGUAGAGAAGAACGUUGGUGAGAGUGGAAAGCUCAUCAAGUGACGGUAACUACCCAGAAAGGGACGGCUAACUACGUG